AUUGAACGCUGGCGGCAGACCUAAAACAUGCAAGUCGAACGAGUGGCGGACGGGUGAGUAAUGUCUGGGAAACUGCCCGCUGGAGGGGGAUAACUACUGGAAACGGUAGCUAAUACCGCAUACCAUCGGAUGUGCCCAGAUGGGAUUAGCUGGUAGGUGGGGUAACGGCUAUCCUAGGCGGCACUCCCUAUCUGGUCUGAGAGUAUGACCAGCCACACUGGAACUGAGACACGGGCUAGACUCCUACGGGAGUCAGCAGGGGGGAAUAUUGCACAAUGGGCGCAAGCCUGCUGCAGCCAUGCCGCGUGUAUGAAGAAGUCCUUCGGGUUGUAAAGUCCUUUCAGCGAGGAGGCGUUACCCGCAGAAGAAGCACCGGCUAACUCCGUGCCAGCAGCCGCGGUAAUUC
rnacentral:rRNA from 1 species